rnacentral:pre_miRNA from 1 species
UGGAGGAACAACCACAGUGGAGGGGGCCAGCUCUGCAGCCCUGGAGUCAGCCCCCGCAGUAGUUCCGGAGCUCUCCGUCUGCAGGGCCUGGAGGCUCCAGGGUGGG